rnacentral:rRNA from 1 species
AGUAAUGUCUGGGAAACUGCCCGAUGGAGGGGGAUAACUACUGGAAACGGUAGCUAAUACCGCAUAACGUCGCAAGACCAAAGAGGGGGACCUUCGGGCCUCUUGCCAUCGGAUGUGCCCAGAUGGGAUUAGCUAGUAGGUGGGGUAACGGCUCACCUAGGCGACGAUCCCUAGCUGGUCUGAGAGGAUGACCAGCCACACUGGGACUGAGACACGGUCCAGACUCCUACGGGAGGCAGCAUG